GGGCGCUUAGCUCAGGGGGAGAGCGCUUGCUUGACAUGCAAGAGGUCGAUGGUUCAAAUCCAUCAGCGCCCACCA
rnacentral:tRNA from 1 species